AGUGAACGCUGGCGGUAGGCCUAACACAUGCAAGUCGAACGGCAGCACAGUAAGAGCUUGCUAUUACGGGUGGCGAGUGGCGGACGGGUGGGGAAUACAUCGGAAUCUACUUUUUCGUGGGGGAUAACGUAGGGAAACUUACGCUAAUACCGCAUACGACCUACGGGUGAAAGCAGGGGAUCUUCGGACCUUGCGCGAUUGAAUGAGCCGAUGUCGGAUUAGCUAGUUGGCGGGGUAAAGGCCCACCAAGGCGACGAUCCGUAGCUGGUCUGAGGGGAGGAACACCCACGGGGAGGCUGGAACGCGGUACAGAGCCCGAGGGAGGGCACAGGGGGGGAAGGGUGGAAGAGGGGGGCAAGCUUGAACAACCGGUGCCGGGCGGGUGAAGAGGGCCUGCGGGUGGUAAAGCCGUUUUGGGGGGAAAAAAAAGUAGCAGUUGAAACCCCGCCUUUUCUGACGGUACCAAAAGAAUAAGCACCGGCUAACUUCGUG
rnacentral:rRNA from 1 species